GGCAGGAGUAUCUCAGUGGUUAAGAUGUUGGACUACUGUUCAGAAGGUCAUGAGUUCAAGUCCCAUCACUGCCA